rnacentral:rRNA from 1 species
AGAGUUUGAUCAUGGCUCAGGACGAACGCUGGCGGCGUGCUUAACACAUGCAAGUGGAGCGACGAACCAGGGCUUGCCCUGGGGCAGAGCCGCGAACGGGUGAGUAACACGUGGGUUACCUGCCUCGAUGACUGGGACAACCCGAGGAAACUCGGGCUAAUACCGGAUGUGCCCGCAAGGGGAAAGGAAGCUUCGGCCUCCGCAUCGAGAUGGGCCCGCGGCCCAUUAGCUUGUUGGUGAGGUAACGGCUCACCAAGGCUCCGAUGGGUAGCUGGUCUGAGAGGACGAUCAGCCACACUGGGACUGAGACACGGCCCAGACUCCUACGGGAGGCAGCAGUGGGGAAUCUUGCGCAAUGCGCGAAAGCGUGACGCAGCAACGCCGCGUGGGGGAAGAAGGCUUUCGGGUUGUAAACCCCUUUCAGUUGGGACGAAGCUUCGCCGAUGAAUAGUCGGCUGGAGUGACGGUGCCUUCACAAGAAGCACCGGCUAACUACGUGCCAGCAGCCGCGGUAAUACGUAGGGUGCAAGCGUUGUCCGGAAUUAUUGGGCGUAAAGAGCGUGUAGGCGGCCCGAUUAGUCCGCUGUGAAAGUCCAGGGCUCAACCCUGGAAUGCCGGUGGAUACUGUCGGGCUAGAGUCCGGAAGGGGCGAGUGGAAUUCCUGGUGUAGCGGUGAAAUGCGCAGAUAUCAGGAGGAACACCAAUGGCGAAGGCAGCUCGCUGGGACGUGACUGACGCUGAGACGCGAAAGCGUGGGGAGCAAACAGGAUUAGAUACCCCCGUAGUCC